rnacentral:rRNA from 1 species
GAUGAACGCUGGCGGCGUGCCUAAUACAUGCAAGUCGAGCGUAUGGAUUAAGAGCUUGCUCUUAUGAAGUUAGCGGCGGACGGGUGAGUAACACGUGGGUAACCUGCCCAUAAGACUGGGAUAACUCCGGGAAACCGGGGCUAAUACCGGAUAAUAUUUUGAACUGCAUGGUUCAAAAUUGAAAGGCGGCUUCGGCUGUCACUUAUGGAUGGACCCGCGUCGCAUUAGCUAGUUGGUGAGGUAACGGCUCACCAAGGCAACGAUGCGUAGCCGCCCUGAGAGGGUGAGCGGCCACACUGGGACUGAGACACGGCCCAGACUCCUACGGGAGGCAGCAGUAGGGAAUCUUCCGCAAUGGACGACAGUCUGACGGAGCAACGCCGCGUGAGUGAUGAAGGCUUUCGGGUCGUAAAACUCUGUUGUUAGGAAAGAACAAGUGCUAGUUGAAUAAGCUGGCACCUUGACGGUACCUAACCAGAAAGCCACGGCUAACUACGUGCCAGCCGCCGCAGUAA